AUUCAGCUGACGAGUCCCAAAUAGGGAGAAAUGCUCAUCCUGGAU
rfam:Trichobilharzia regenti genome assembly, scaffold: TRE_scaffold0010881